rnacentral:rRNA from 1 species
AGAGUGAACGCUGGCGGCAGGCCUAACACAUGCAAGUCGAACGGCAGCGGGUCGUAGCAAUACGAUGCCGGCGAGUGGCCGACGGGUGAGGAAUACAUCGGAAUCUACCUUGUCGUGGGGGAUAACGUAGGGAAACUUACGCUAAUACCGCAUACGAACUAUGGUUGAAAGCGGCGGACCGCAAGGCGUCGCGCGAUUGGAUGAGCCGAUGUCCGAUUAGCUAGUGCGGGUAAAGCCACAAGGCGACGAUCGGUAGCUGGUCUGAGAGGAUGAUCAGCCACACUGGAACUGAGACACGGUCCAGGCUCUACGGGAGCAGCAGUGGGGAAUAUUGGACAAUGGGCGCAAGCCUGAU